CAGGCAAAGACGACCCUAAGAAGCUGACAGGCAAAAUCUCAUCAGGUGCACAGUCUGUGCAAACUUGCUGGGAGGAGCAGGAGAAGCAGCACUCAGCUGUCUCAGUCAGCUUUGCCAAGUUUUCUCAGAAGUACUCAGUGCUGGAAGGCCAUGUCUGCUAAAGAGAAGGGAAAAUCUGCAGACAGGGCAAAGGUGGAAAAGACCUGUUAUGAAAGAGAAAUGAAACCCGUAUCUCUCCUAAAGGGGAGACAGAAAAAAAGUUAAAAGAUCCUAAUGCACCCAAGAGGCCUCCUUUGACCUUCAUCUUGUUCUUUCCUGAAUAUUGCCCUCACAUCAAAGGAGAACAUCCUGGCCUGUCCAUUGGUGAUGUUGCAAAGGAGCUGGAAGAUGUGGACUAACACGGCGGCAGAUGACUAGCGGCCAUAUGAAAAGAGGGCUGUGAAGCUGGAGGAAAAAUGCCAAAGGAUAUUGCUGCAAACUGAGCUAAAAGAAAGUCCGAUGCAGCAGAAAAGCAAGUUAUCGGGGCUGAAAAAAGCAAGGAAAAAAAAGGAAG
rnacentral:lncRNA from 1 species